UCCGUUAACAUUUUAUUUGUUUCUCUGCGGAAUCGGGACAAACAUCAACUAUUGACGACGACCGGACGACGAAUUAGCCAAUUUAAUGAAACCGAAGAAACGAACGACAUCUGCGAGAAAAACAGGGAUUUUCUAAAAACAGUGAAUUUAUAAAAGUCAGAAUUUCAGAAAACAUUCAGAUUUAAGGACGAGGUGAAAAAUCUGGUGUUUGUGUCC